rnacentral:lncRNA from 10 species
GGCUCAGCGGUCGCCAGCGGCACCGGAGGCAGCGCGGGUAACCGCUGAGUCCAAGGCAGCCGAUUGGAGGUUUCUUCGCUGAGGGGAGAGAGGAAGUGUGAAGUGUGACGGCUGACGAGGAGGGUGGGAGGAGACGAGGGAGUGCUGCAACUCUGGAAAAACAAGUCAGCUCUUCUGUGGAGCUCGUCACGCAUUCACGGGCCUUUUGCUAUCAUUCUGCCUCAAAAUUGUCCGGAAUCCGCCCUCUCCUUCCCAUUGCACUGCUCCAGCCCUAGCCCAGACACCUUCCGCCCCGAGCUUCGCGGGAGUCUGUUCCCUGGGCUCGCCUCGCCCAUCCUCGGUGCUGCGGACUGGAUGAGUUACCGUCCGUUCGGCUGAAAAGCCCGGACAGCACCUCACCUUCGAGAUCCCGCUUCCUUCACACUGGGUCGCCCCACCAGCCGCCUGGGUUCCAGUUUAGCACUGCCGACGACUUGCUGUGCCUGGCAUGUCCUUGCUCCCAAAUGUCACAUCUAUGAAGCCUCACCCUAAAACCCUGUAAGAGCGAUUCCCUCUUUCACCCACAUGCCCGUUAGCCUUUAUUUAGCACACCUUAAAUUGUAUUCAUUUUGCAUCUCAAUCUAGUUCACAGCCUGGUAUAUAACAACUAAUAAAUGUGAGUUGACUGAUAAAGACUAUAAAAUGAUAAAUUUGUUAAGAGCUGUAAUGCUGAGCGUAAUGCCUGGGCAUAAUGGAUGUUCAUAAUUUUCUGAAUGAUAGAAUGGAUGAAUCAUCUAGUCAUUUACAGAUAAGGAAAGGGGAGUCCCACGGGAUUAGGUGACCUUCCUUGAAGAGCCACGGGUUUCCCAUAUCGAAAUGCUAUUCAUUACCCGAGUCACCUAGGUUCUUACAAAGGAAGCGAGAAAAUUGCUUUUGUUGGGCCAUGCCCCUUUUGCAGAGGUUCCUAAGUAUAGUCGCCAGAAUUUUUUUAAUGGCCUAAAGUAAAAAAAGAAAUGCUAAAAUUUUCACGAAGCUAAAUGUAAUCAAUGUAAAGG